UACGAGGGGAUGCAACGUUGCUCGGAAUCGAUUGGCGUAAGCGCACGUAGGCGGUUCGUUAUGUCGGAUGUGAAAGCCCUUGGCUUAACCGAGGAAGUGCAUCCGAAACUGGCGAGCUAGAGUACGAAAGAGGAUCGCGGAAUUCCCGGUGUAGAGGUGAAAUUCGUAGAUAUCGGGAGGAACACCGGUGGCGAAGGCGGCGAUCUGGGUCGAUACUGACGCUGAGGUGCGAAAGCGUGGGGAGCAACAGG
rnacentral:rRNA from 1 species